UCUGCGCGUGCGCGGGCACUGACCUGCGGCGGGCCGGGCGCCGACCCCCGCGGCGGUGCCGGUGCCGGUGGCGGUGUGGCGUAUGUAUGGGAACAUCAAUACCUGAGAGACUCAAGCACUGAAAUGUCCCUUCAGAAUUAUUUGCCAUCUCUGCAAUCAAACAUGCAGAUCUCAGAUCAGCCUCGUCAGUCGUCUUUGGACUCAUGGAUGACUUCCCUAUUUACUGGAAGACUGCCAUCCUUAUACUGAGGGACUGCCAGUGAUAACAACAUAAGAGAAACAAGUAUUUUAAUUGGUAAUGGAAUUUCUAAACAUGAGAACGUAACUAUACUGCUGUCACUCAAUUAUUUUCAGUAUGUAAAUGAUGUUGAUGAUACUUCAACUAUUUAAAAUAAAAACGCUUUUAAAAGUCAA